AGCAGCCGCGGUAAUUCCAGCUCCAAUAGCGUAUAUUAAAGUUGUUGCAAAAAGCUCGUAGUUGAAUUUUGGGGUUCUACCGUUGGUCGGGCAAUAGUCUGUACUGGCGUGUGGAAUUUCUACCUUCUGGGGAACUAUCAUGUUAUUUAUUUAGCGUGGUAGGAAACCGGGACCUUUACCUUGAAAAAAUUAGUGUGUUCAAAGCAGGCUUACGUCUGAAUACAUUAGCAUGGAAUAAUAAAAUAGGAUGGUGGUCCUGUUUUGUUGGGUUCUGUAUCACCAUAAUGAUUAAUAGGGAUAGUUGGGGCAUUAGUAUUCAAUUGUCAGAGGUGAAAUUCUUGGAUGAAU
rnacentral:rRNA from 1 species